rnacentral:rRNA from 1 species
GACGAACGCUGGCGGCGUGCUUAACACAUGCAAGUCGAGCGGUAAGGCCCUUUCGGGGGUACACGAGCGGCGAACGGGUGAGUAACACGUGGGUGACCUGCCCUUAGCUCUGGGAUAAGCCUGGGAAACUGGGUCUAAUACCGGAUAUGACUCCAUAACGCAUGUUGUGGGGUGGAAAGCCUUGUGCGGCUAGGGAUGGGCCCGCGGCCUAUCAGCUUGUUGGUGGGGUGAUGGCCACCAAGGCGACGACGGGU